rnacentral:rRNA from 1 species
GGGAGUAGCAAUACAACUGGUGGCGACCGGCGCACGGGUGAGUAACGCGUAUGCAACCUUUCUAUCAGAGGGGAAUAACCCGGCGAAAGUCGGACUAAUACCGCAUAAAACAGGGGCACCGCAUGGUGAUAUUUGUUAAAGAAAUUCGCUGAUAGAUGGGCAUGCGUUCCAUUAGGUAGUUGGUGAGGUAACGGCUCACCAAGCCGACGAUGGAUAGGGGAACUGAGAGGUUGGUCCCCCACACUGGUACUGAGACACGGACCAGACUCCUACGGGAGGCAGCAGUGAGGAAUAUUGGUCAAUGGGCGGGAGCCUGAACCAGCCAAGUCGCGUGAAGGAAGAAGGAUCUAUGGUUCGUAAACUUCUUUUGCAGGGGAAUAAAGUGCAGGACGUGUCCUGUUUUGUAUGUACCCUGAGAAUAAGGAUCGGCUAACUCCGUGCCAGCAGCCGCGGUAAUACGGUGGAUCCGAGCGUUAUCCGGAUUUAUUGGGUUUAAAGGGUGCGUAGGUGGUUUGAUAAGUCAGCGGUGAAAGUUUGCAGCUUAACUGUAAAAAUGCCGUUGAAACUGUCGGACUUGAGUGUAAAUGAGGUAGGCGGAAUGCGUGGUGUAGCGGUGAAAUGCAUAGAUAUCACGAAGAACUCCGAUUG